GAUCUGGCUCAGGAUGAACGCUAGCUACAGGCUUAACACAUGCAAGUCGAGGGGCAGCAUGAACUUAGCUUGCUAAGUUUGAUGGCGACCGGCGCACGGGUGAGUAACACGUAUCUAACCUUCCGUUUACUCAGGGAUAGCCUUUCGAAAGAAAGAUUAAUACCUGAUAGUAUGGUGAGAUUGCAUGAUAACACCAUUAAAGAUUUAUUGGUAAACGAUGGGGAUGCGUUCCAUUAGG
rnacentral:rRNA from 1 species